rnacentral:rRNA from 1 species
ACUCAAAUGAAUAGACGGGACCCCGCACAAGCGGUGGAUCAUGUUGUUUAAUUCGAAGAUACACGAAAAACCUUACCAGGUCUUGACAUACUCUGCAAAGCUAUAGAGAUAUAGUGGAGGUUAACAGAUGUACAGGUGGUGCAUGGUUGUCGUCAGCUCGUGUCGUGAGAUGUUGGGUUAAGUCCCGCAACGAGCGCAACCCUUAUUGCUAGUUACCAUCAUUAAGUUGGGGACUCUAGCGAGACUGCCAGUGAUAAACUGGAGGAAGGUGGGGAUGACGUCAAAUCAUCAUGCCCCUUAUGACCUGGGCUACAAACGUGAUACAAUGGCUGGAACAAAGAGAAGCGAAGCAGUGAUGUGGAGCCAAACUCAUAAAAACAGUCUCAGUUCGAAUUGGAGUCUGCAACUCGACUCCAUGAAGUCGGAAUCGCUAGUAAUCGCGAAUCAGCAUGUCGCGGUGAAUACGUUCUCGGGGUUUGUACACACCGCCCGU